rnacentral:rRNA from 1 species
GAUGAACGCUGGCGGCGUGCCUAAUACAUGCAAGUCGAGCGAACAGACGAGGAGCUUGCUCCUCUGACGUUAGCGGCGGACGGGUGAGUAACACGUGUAUAACCUACCUAUAAGACUGGGAUAACUUCGGGAAACCGGAGCUAAUACCGGAUAAUAUAUUGAACCGCAUGGUUCAAUAGUGAAAGACGGUUUUGCUGUCACUUAUAGAUGGAUCCGCGCCGCAUUAGCUAGUUGGUAAGGUAACGGCUUACCAAGGCAACGAUGCGUAGCCGACCUGAGAGGGUGAUCGGCCACACUGGAACUGAGACACGGUCCAGACUCCUACGGGAGGCAGCAGUAGGGAAUCUUCCGCAAUGGGCGAAAGCCUGACGGAGCAACGCCGCGUGAGUGAUGAAGGUCUUCGGAUCGUAAAACUCUGUUAUUAGGGAAGAACAAAUGUGUAAGUAACUAUGCACGUCUUGACGGUACCUAAUCAGAAAGCCACGGCUAACUACGUG